rnacentral:rRNA from 1 species
GACGAACGCUGGCGGCGUGCCUAAUACAUGCAAGUAGAACGCACAGUUUAUACCGUAGCUUGCUACACCAUAGACUGUGAGUUGCGAACGGGUGAGUAACGCGUAGGUAACCUGCCUGGUAGCGGGGGAUAACUAUUGGAAACGAUAGCUAAUACCGCAUAAUAUUAAUUAUUGCAUGAUAAUUAAUUGAAAGGUGCAAUUGCACCACUACCAGAUGGACCUGCGUUGUAUUAGCUAGUAGGUGAGGUAACGGCUCACCUAGGCGACGAUACAUAGCCGACCUGAGAGGGUGAUCGGCCACACUGGGACUGAGACACGGCCCAGACUCCUACGGGAGGCAGCAGUAGGGAAUCUUCGGCAAUGGACGAAAGUCUGACCGAGCAACGCCGCGUGAGUGACGAAGGUUUUCGGAUCGUAAAGCUCUGUUGUAAGAGAAGAACGGGUGUGAGAGUGGAAAGUUCACACUGUGACGGUAUCUUACCAGAAAGGGACGGCUAACUACGUG